UACGUAGGGGGCAAGCGUUGUCCGGAUUUAUUGGGCGUAAAGAGCGUGUAGGCGGCCAGGUAGGUCAGCUGUGAAAACUCGAGGCUCAACCUCGAGACGCCGGUUGAAACCAUCUGGCUAGAGUCCGGAAGAGGAGAGUGGAAUUCCUGGUGUAGCGGUGAAAUGCGCAGAUAUCAGGAAGAACACCCGUGGCUAAGGCGGCGUUCUGGACUGUUUCUGACACUGAAAAACGAAAGCCAGGGGAGCAAACGGG
rnacentral:rRNA from 1 species